rnacentral:rRNA from 1 species
CCUACGGGCGGCAGCAGUGAGGAAUAUUGGUCAAUGGCCGAGAGGCUGAACCAGCCAAGUCGCGUGAGGGAAGACGGCCCUACGGGUUGUAAACCUCUUUUGUCGGGGAGCAAAGCGAGGCACGUGUGACUCAUUGAGAGUACCCGAAGAAAAAGCAGCGGCUAACUCCGUGCCAGCAGCCGCGGUAAUACGGAGGAUGCGAGCGUUAUCCGGAUUUCUUGGGUGUAAAGGGUGCGCAGGCGGAGGUGCAAGUCAGCGGUCACAUUGCGGGGCUCAACCCCGGACUGCCGUUGAAACUGCAUCCCUUGUGUGCGCGAGACGUAUGCGGAAUGCGUGGUGUAGCGGUGACCUGCAUCGCUAUCACCC